rnacentral:rRNA from 1 species
GACGAACGCUGGCGGCGUGCUUAACACAUGCAAGUCGAACGGAAAGGCCCUGCUUUUGUGGGGUGCUCGAGUGGCGAACGGGUGAGUAACACGUGAGUAACCUGCCCUUGACUUUGGGAUAACUUCAGGAAACUGGGGCUAAUACCGGAUAGGAGCUCCUGCUGCAUGGUGGGGGUUGGAAAGUUUCGGCGGUUGGGGAUGGACUCGCGGCUUAUCAGCUUGUUUGUGGGGUAGGGGCUUACCAAGGCUUUGACGGGUAGCCGGCAUGAGAGGGGGACCGGCCACAUGGGGCCUGAGAUACGGACCAGACUCCUACGGGAGGCAGCAGUGGGGAAUAUUGCACAAUGGGCCGAAGCCUGAUGCAGAAACGCCCCGUGCGGGAUGACGGCCUUCGGGUUGUAAACAGCUUUCGACUGUGACGAAGCGUGAGUGACGGUAAUGGGUAAAGAAGCACCGGCUAACUACGUG